GGCACCCAACACAGCAGGAGGGGACAGCAUGGGGACAGCAGCUCGGGGCACCGAGUGGGGAUCACACACCACGGCUCCAGGAGCACCCAUAAAUCCACACCUGAAACCCUCCAGACCACCCCGUCCUGCCAUUAAAUCCAAACUGGGAAGGGUGUUACACAAUGCAGCUAUUGCGCAGCUUCGCCCGGCAUUAUCCUGCUGCUUUGAAACACUCCAGGCCCUUCAGCACUUCGUUACCUUCAUUCCCUCCAUCAACAGCAGGUCGCCCUGACGGCUCGGGAAUGUUCUCUGUCCUCGAAAGGCACAGGCAUAGCAGCCUGGAAAAAAAAAAACCCCAAUCGGCUGACGUUUUGGGCUAUCUUGAGACAAACCAGAAGCGCCGGCAGACGGGUAAAAAUAUGCACGUUUGAUGCUCUCUCCUGCCGGAUGAAAAUCCGUGUAUUAAUGCAAGAACACGUUGGGGUUUUCACCCCAGAUAAAUAAAUAAAAUG